CGACGAGCACUUCUCCAUCUCCCUCCGCGCCCUGGCUCCUCUGCUGGCCGCUGGACGCGCGUGUGCCAGGGAGCGCUCCCUCCUCCCUUGUUUCCCUGGCGCAUGGACUUCUCUUUACCCCAGUUCCUUGCCAUGGCACACCCGAAGCUCCCUUCUGCUUCCUGCUCGGCGUCCUGCUCCAGCGAUGCAGCUCGCCUAGCCGAGCUCCCUCAGCUCGCCCCAUCCAUGGCAGCGGUGCCCCUCUGCCUGCUGGAACUUCCUUGUCCGCGAGCCCUCCCUCGUCCAAGCGCCCGACCGCCCCAGCUCGCGCCCAAACUCCCUGCUUGGAUUUCGUCCAGAUCGAGCUGCUCCCAUGGCGAUUUCCCCUCGGAUUCCUCCCUGUUCGCGCCACUCUCUCUCUCUCUCUCUCUCUCGAGUCUCUGUGCCGCGCCCUGGCUCGGAUUCUGCUCGACGCCCCUGCUUCCCUCAAAUCCGGUAUGCGUUGCAUUCUGUCGUGCUCCUCCCUCGUCGGAGCUCGCCGUCUGGCCAUGGUGGUGGCACUGUUGUGCCUUUGCUCCCAGGUUGACGCACGCCCCGGCACUACUCUUCACUGGAUUCACCUUGCUCCAUCCCCUGGCCAUGGAUGUCAUCGUCCUCCAGCCCCGUGGACGCGCGCUCCUCUACCCCAACAUCGGUAGCAUUCCUGCGCUUGUGUUCGUCGACCUUCACUCCUCUCACCAUGGUCGGCCAACCUCGCCGAUGCUACUCUUUAGGGGUCACCUCUAGGCCUGAUCGAUGAUUUCCCUCGGCCCAAGCCUUGCCUGCGCGCCUAGACCUCCUCGACGCCCUCACCUUGUUUGGGUGCUCGUCGCCGGAAAUGCGGGAGAUGAGCCACGUCUCCCUCCAAUUGUUGUCAAGCGGGCGACCUUGUUGUAUCAAGCCGGUCGUCGUCCUUGCCUACGGCUACUUCUGCUGGCCCCUCACGUCGCUGUCGCUCAAUACAUGUGCUACGCCAUUGGAUGCUGGUCGAACCAGGGACAUGCUUCCUUCUUCGUCAUCGCAACAGCAGCCCCCUUGCUCCUCACCGUCGUGCUCCUUUUGCUGUCGGGCCGUGCUUUGCCACGUUCACUUCAUUGUGUCGUCGUGGAUUUGUCGACGUACUGCUGUGGUACCUGGAUCACGCUCGCCUCAACCCGAACGAGUCGUACUGUCAUCCUCUUCGUCGGAUAGAAAUCGUCACGCUGGCACGUUGAGAUCGUCGAUCGCCAUCCUCGUCUACGCCAAGCCCCAAGCUGUGAAGACGCUCUUGUGCUGGCCCGCGUCAUCAUCAUUCUUAUCGUGGAUUACCGAUGUCAGUCGCCUCGACAACAACCACAUCCACGACUUUGCCGUUCCAAUAAUUUUGCCGUACCGCCCUUCAAAUCUAAGUCCUCGUCCGUUGGAUCGUCAUUGACCUUGCAACUUCAGCUCGAGUUAAAUAUGGUACGUUCGUUGAUCACGUGAUGCGGAAGACGACCCCAGGAUAAUGCAGUGAGUGAACAUCUCCGCAAGACGACGUCGUCAGUUGGACGAACCUGAAGAUGCAUAAUCUGACAAAUGUUAAGACAAAAGAUGGUCGUCAAACGGACGUCGUCUAACAAACACUAACAUAGUGUUUAUUCCAGGCAAGCCCCGGUGCAUGCAACCCCUUCCUUGUGUUUGUAAAUUAUUUUUACACACUUUAAGUCUAGCGAAAUGUGCAUUAGGUUUAUAGGAGUUGCUUGAAAACCCUUUGAUGUAUUGCCUACCUUGAUAUCCAUAUCUUUAUAGAUACUUCUGAUGAAGUAUCAAAAUAUGAUUUAC